rnacentral:rRNA from 1 species
AACGAACGCUGGCGGCAGGCCUAAACAUGCAAGUCGAGCGGGCAUAGCAAUAUGUCAGCGGCGGACGGGUGAAUAACACGUGGGAACAUGCCCUUUGGUACGGAACAACUCAGGGAAACUUGAGCUAAUACCGUAUGUGCCGGUAACGGGAAAGAUUUAUCGCCAAAGGAUUGGCCCGCGUCCGAUUAGCUAGUUGGUGAGGUAACGGCUCACCAAGGCGACGAUCGGUAGCUGGUUUGAGAGAACGAUCAGCCACACUGGGACUGAGACACGGCCCAGACU